UUAGGUGUUUCGCUCAUAAACACACACAUCGCCCGGUUUGAGAUUUGAACCCUCAAUCCCUCCACCGCAAGUCCGCUGCUCUAACCACUAGGCCAUGUGCCUCCACCAGAUAUAAGAUAUAUUCACUCGAAAUUUCAUUAUUCUUAACAGCAGAAAAUAGUUUUCCAUAACAAUUUAACUUUUGUUGAGGAAUAUCAUAUUUGAAACUCUUUUUUGUCGAAAUAUAUCAAGUUUACAGAUUUGCAGAAAACACCAAAUAUUUAACCUCAUUACUGGAAUAACCGUAAAAUCUUAUUUUUCAGCUGAAGGGUUAAUUUACAGGUAUGAUAGGCAACGCAAAUAUACUCCCCUUCAGACACACAUCGAGAGGAGACUUCAUCACCCUCUUCUCUCCCUUUUUCUACAUUUUGUAGUCAAUUAUUGUCUGUCAUUUUAAUCGAGUGUCUUCUUUCA